rnacentral:SRP_RNA from 1 species
GGAGGCUGGUGGUGGACGAACUGCUCGCCAACUGGGUCAGGUCUGGAAAGAAGCAGCCCUAACGGGUUUUUAGUACGGGUCAUCGUACCAGCCUCCUAU